rnacentral:misc_RNA from 1 species
GGAAGGAUCAUUGAAUCUAUCAACACCAACACCGUGAACCUGCUCUGUCGGCCUGGGAGAAGUCUGUAACAGGACUUCUCCUGCAUGUGGGCUCUGCUCUCGACUUCUCCAGGGAAGUCGUGAGUCUGUGCGCGCAUGGUUGCUUGGCUGUUUAUUCAGCCAGGCGAUGGCCAUUUUAUUCAACCAACCAACACCAAAUCCUAUGUUCUAAAGUCAGAUGUGCCCUGGCAUUGCCGGAGCAUGUAACCAAGACAACUCUCAACAACGGAUAUCUUGGCUCUCGCAACGAUGAAGAACGCAGCGAAAUGCGAUACGUAGUGUGAAUUGCAGAAUCCCGUGAAUCAUCGAAUCUUUGAACGCAUAUUGCGCUCGAGGCUUCGGCCAAGAGCAUGUCUGCCUCAGCGUCGGGUUAACAUCACUCUCCCACUCACCUGGUGUGAGUGAGCAGCAGUGGAUCUGGCUUUCCCAGCGCUUUCAGUAGUGCUGGGUUGGCUGAAGAGCAGAGGUUGAUGCAUGGACCCGCUUAUGGGCCGCAGUUGGGUAGGCAGCUUCUUGCUUGCUAUCAAUGCUUAACUGUUGGCCUGGGACCGCGCUUGUCGACCCUGAAACCAGGAAUGCGCCCUCGGGCGCAUGCUUACCAUGUUCUCGACCUGAGCUCAGGCAAGAUUACCCGCUGAACUUAAGCAUAUCAAUAAGCGGAGGAAAAGAAACUAACCAGGAUUCCCCUAGUAACGGCGAGCGAACCGGGAAUAGCCCAACUUGAAAAUCUCCCUCUGGAGAAUUGUAGUCUAUAGAAGCGCCCUCUGUAGCAGGCAGAGCCCAAGUUCGCUGGAAGGCGACGUCAGAGAGGGUGAGAACCCCGUCGGCCCUGUCCCAGCUGCUCCACGAGGUGCUUUCAACGAGUCGGGUUGUUUGGGAAUGCAGCCCUAAGUAGGUGGUAAAUCCCAUCUAAGGCUAAAUACUGGCGAGAGACCGAUAGCGAACAAGUACCUUGAGGGAAAGAUGAAAAGAACUUUGAAAAGAGAGUUAAAAAGUGCUUGAAAUUGUUGAGGGGGAAGCGAUUGGGCGUCGUAUCUGCUCCUAGGCAAACGCUGCUCUAACGAGCUGUUGAAUGUGCUAGGAGCUUGUCAGCAUGGGUUAGCUGGGCGGGAUAACAGUUGGGGUUGAUACCCAGCCGAUGCCGCCUGGCUGACCAAGGCGUCAAGGUCGCUCUGUCCUUCGGGAACUGCGUCCUAAAGAUGCUGGCAGAAGAUGCCCAAUCGGCCCGUCUUGAAACACGGACCAAGGAGUCUAACAUGUAUGCAAGUUGGUGGGUGGAAAACCCAUGAGCGCAAGGAAACUAACUGAUGGGAUGGCCUGUGCCUGCACCAUCGACCGACCAUGAGCUUCUGCGAAAGGUUUGAGUGCGAGCAUACCUGUUGGGACCCGAAAGAUGGUGAACUAUGCCUGAGCAGAGCGAAGCCAGAGGAAACUCUGGUGGAGGCUCGUAGAUGUGCUGACGUGCAAAUCGCUUUUCGGACUUGGGUAUAGGGGCGAAAGACUAAUCGAACCAUCUAGUAGCUGGUUCCCUC